rnacentral:rRNA from 1 species
UACGAGGGGUGCAAGCGUUGCUCGGAAUUAUUGGGCAUAAAGGGUAGGUAGGUGGUCUGAUUUGUCGGGGGUGAAAGCCUUGGGCUUAACUCAAGAAGUGCCCCCGAAACGGUCAGACUUAGAGUCUUGGAGAGGCGAGCGGAAUUCCCGGUGUAGCGGUGAAAUGCGUAGAGAUCGGGAGGAACACCAGAGGCGAAGGCGGCUCGCUGGACAAGCACUGACACUCAACUACGAAAGCGUGGGGAGCAAACAGG